rnacentral:lncRNA from 1 species
AUAAAAUGAAGAAACAGAACCACAAAAAUAAGUUAGAGGCAAGGAAAGGGUUUCAGAGGGUAUAGAGUCCGCUUUGAAGAAACUUGGCUGUGAAUAAAAGGAAAGAAAUAAGAAAAUGGUUAGGGGUAGCAUGAUUUAUGAAAAGUUUGUUUGUUUUUUGGCUUUUUUCCCCUUUAAUAUGGCAAAGACUUAAGUAUCUCAUUAAAUUCCAGGGAAGAAGCCAGUUGAGAUUUUUUAAAAAAUCUUGAAACACAAACUUGGACAUUGGAGCCUUAGCUUUCAGAAUCCUCCCUGAAAGAAGAAAAAUACAUGUUUUUCUCCCCCACUAUAUUGUCACUUCCUCGAGGAAGGACAAGGGCUCAUGUAUUCUGUUUAUCUGCAUGCCUGGAGCCUAACCCAAGUAAGUGCACCAUGCAUGUAUGUGUAGACAGAUGGACGAAGUGAUGAUGGA